UGACCUCAAAUCAGGUAGGAACACC
rnacentral:rRNA from 1 species